rnacentral:tRNA from 1 species
GCCUGGCUGGCUCAGUCGGUAGAGCGUGCAACUCUUGAUCUCGAGGUUGUGAGUUUGAGCCCUAUGUUGGGCA